GGGUGUCCCCGAGGCGGACGCGCGAGUUUACUUCCUCUCCGGCCCCACGGGCGCGCUUCCCUCCUGGCGGAUUCCGAAGCCCGCCCCACCACCGUCACCGCACCAGUGGCCCAGGCAGGCUUCGUGGGACCAACAGGGCUAAUCCUGCCCCGCGGAUCUAAUCCGGAUCGGGACCCGGUCCCAGGGGAGGCCCCCACCUCCCCUUCUAUUGUUCUGGGGCCCAGGCGCCUUGGGGUUGGGGAGACGCUGGGGGCCCUCAACGCGGCCCUGGGGCCUGGCAGUCCGAUAUGGAUCAAGGAGACGCGCACCCGCCACCUGCGUUCCCGAGACUUUCUGGCACCGCACCGCGCGCUGCAGGCGCGCUUCGAUGACGGCCAGGUACCCGAGCAUUUGCUCCAUGCCCUCGCCUGCCUGCAGGGUCCCGGUGUGGCCCCGGUGCUGCGCUGCGCGCCGACUCCCGCGGGUCUGUCUCUCCAACUGCAGCGGCCCGCGGUCUUCGAGCGCGUCCUCAGCGCCGUGGCCGCCUAUGCCACGCCCGCCUUGCCUGCCUUGCCGGGCCAGCGCGUCUUACUACACUGCCCAGCCCUGCGCAGCUCCCCUUGCGCACUCCGCUUGAGCCAGCUGCGUACGGUGCUCGUGGCUGAUCACCUGGCGCGAGCUCUGCGCGCUCACGGGGUGUGCGUGCGCCUAGUGCCAGCUGUGCAGGAUCCGCACAUGCUGACCUUCCUGCAGCAACUGCGGGUGGACUGGCCCGCUGCCUCGGAGAGAGCUUCCUCCCACACCCUGAGGAGCCACGCCCUUAAAGAAGUUACCUCUGCUCAUGACGGGAGGACACUGUCCCCUGGCAUCCUAGGCAGACUGUGUCUGAAGGAGCUGGUGGAAGAACAGGGCCGCACAGCUGGCUAUGACUCCAACCUGGACAACUGUCUGGUGACUGAGGAUCUCCUGUCUGUGCUAGCUGAGCUGCAGGAGGCUCUAUGGCAUUGGCCAGAGGACAGCCACCCAGGCCUGGCUGGGUCCCCAGAUACUGGUACAGACAGCUGCCUGGUUGUACAUGUUGUUAGCUGUGAGGAGGAGUUCCAGCAACAGAAGUUGGACCUGCUUUGGCGGAAGUUGGUUGACAAGGCUCCACUCAGACAGAAGCACCUGAUCUGUGGCCCUGUGAAAGUAGCUGGUGCACCUGGCCCUCUGAUGACUGCCCCUGAGUACUACAAGUUCCGGCAUGCCCAGGUGUGCAAGGCCUCAGCACUGAAGCAUGGUGGGGAUCUGGCCCACGAUCCAGCCUGGACAGAGAUCUUUGGUGUUCUCUCUGUGGCCACCAUCAAGUUUGAGAUGCUGAGCACAGCCCCACAGAGUCAGCUCUUCCUGGCUCUGGCUGACAAGAACAUCUCCACAAAGGGCACAAAGAGUGGCACCUUUGUCAUGUAUAAUUGUGCUCGUCUUGCCACACUCUUUGAGAGUUACAAGUGUAGUAUGGAACAAGGUCUGUACCCCACUUUUCCUCCUGUGAGCAGUCUGGACUUCUCACUACUACAUGAUGAGGGUGAGUGGUUGUUGCUCUUCAACAAUAUCCUCCCCUUUCCGGAUCUGCUGAGCCAGACAGCAAUGCUGGACUGCACAGCCCCAGGGCUCCACAUCACUGCACGCACAGAGAUGGUGAGGCACAACCAGGACACUCUACACUCUAUUCUUUAUUCUGGCCUGGGGCACAAGAGCAAAGAGAUGGGCCAGUGACUCAGUCUCUGUCUCUAGAUGUGCAAGUUCCUGGUACAGCUCAGCAUGGAUUUCAGCUCCUACUACAACCGAGAGCCUCGACCACACCGCUUUGGUCAGAUGUUCGUCCGCCUGCAGCUUCUGAGGGCUGUGCGUGAGGUGCUCCAUACUGGCCUGGCUAUGCUGGGUCUCCCUCCACUGAGCCACAUCUGAGGCCACAGAGGCUCCAAUAUUUGGGAACGUUCACAAAGUCAUCAACUGGAAAAAAAGCAAAAACCCACGGCCAAAAUAAAUUGGUACUGUU